rnacentral:misc_RNA from 1 species
GAAAUGCGAUAAGUAAUGUGAAUUGCAGAAUUCAGUGAAUCAUCGAAUCUUUGAACGCACAUUGCGCCCUCUGGCUAAUCCGGGGGGCAUGCCUGUUCGAGCGUCACAAAGACCUUGCUCACACUUGCUGUGGUUGUGGCGGGAGCGCGCGUGCACCCUUCAGGUCCACCGCGCUCCGCCGAAAUCCAUUGGCGGACCGUCCACCCAGGACUCGAUGUAGUGAGCUCAAACUCUCAUCCCGUCCUCUCUCGGGGGAAAGCUGUCCUGCCGUUGAACCCCCAUUCCUCCAAAAGGUUGACCUCGGAUCAGGUAGGGAUACCCGCUGAACUUAA